UACGUAGGGUGCGAGCGUUAAUCGGAAUUACUGGGCGUAAAGCGUGCGCAGGCGGUUGGUUAAGUCUGAUGUGAAAGCCCCGGGCUCAACCUGGGAAUGGCAUUGGAAACUGGCUGGCUAGAGUGUGGCAGAGGGGGGUGGAAUUCCGCGUGUAGCAGUGAAAUGCGUAGAGAUGCGGAGGAACACCGAUGGCGAAGGCAGCCCCCUGGGCUGAGAUUGACGCUCAGGCACGAAAGCGUGGGGAGCAAACAGG
rnacentral:rRNA from 1 species